UGUUUGAGAACAGCAAUUCAAUAUCCAAUUGCAAAUGAAAUGUUCACUAUGUUCUCAACAUACCUCAUGAUCAGAUGUAAGUGUAUGCCUAGUAGGCAAAUGAUGCGAUGCGGUAAUGGGGAAUCAGGGUUCGAUUCCGGAGAGCGAGCCUGAGAAACGGCUAUCACAUCCAAGAAAGGCA
rnacentral:ncRNA from 1 species